rnacentral:rRNA from 1 species
CCUACGGGGGACAGCAGUAGGGAAUCUUCCACAAUGGGCGAAAGCCUGAUGGAGCAACGCCGCGUGGGUGAAGAAGGUCUUCGGAUCGUAAAACCCUGUUGUUAGAGAAGAAAGUGCGUGAGAGUAACUGUUCACGUUUAGACGGUAUAUAACCAGAAAGCCACGGCUAACUACGUGCCAGCAGCCGCGGUAAUACGUAGGUGGCAAGCGUUAUCCGGAUUUGUUGGGCGUAAAGGGAACGCAGGCGGUCUUUCAAGUCUGAUGUGAAAGCCUUCGGCUUAACCGGAGUAGUGCUGUUGAAACUGGCGUACUUGAGUGCAGAAGAGGAAAGUGGAACUCCAUGUGUAGCGGUGAAAUGCGUAGAUAUAUGGAAGAACACCAGUGGCGAAGGCGGCUCUCUGGUCUGUAACUGACGCUGAGGUUCGAAAGCGUGGGUAGCAAACAGGAUUAGAUACCCUUGUAGUC